UUAAUAUUAAAUGCCUUAACAUGUAUACAAUAUAUUUUGAUUAAAAAAAUUCAAAAACAAAAUGCAUGAACUAAAAAAAUAACAAUAACAACAACAACGACAACAACAACAAUAACAAUAACAACAACAAUAGUAACAACAAUAGCAACAACAACAAUAAUAACAACAACAAAAACAACAACAACAACAAUAACAACACAACAAAGGAAACAUAAACAACAAUAACAAUAACUAUAACAACAACAACAAGAAUAGCAAG
rnacentral:lncRNA from 1 species